rnacentral:tRNA from 5 species
GCCGCCAUAACUCAGCUGGUAGAGUGUCUGGCUGUUAACCAGAUCGUCACAGGUUCGAGCCCUGUUGGCGGCG